GUGAGGAAUUUUCCGCAAUGGGCGAAAGCCUGACGGAGCAAUGCCGCGUGAAGGAUGAUGGCCUAUGGGUUGUAAACUUCUUUUCUCAGAAAAGAAUUAUGACGGUAUCUGAGGAAUAAGCAUCUGCUAACUCUGUGCCAGCAGCCGCGGUAAGACAGAGGAUGCAAGCGUUAUCCGGAAUGAUUGGGCGUAAAGCGUCUGUAGGUUGUUUAAAAAGUAUUCUGUCAAAGAUUAGGGCUUAACCCUAGAUAGGCAGAAUAAACUUUUAAGCUAGAGUUUGGUAGAGGCAGAGGGAAUUCCCGGUGGAGCGGUGAAAUGCGUAGAUAUCGGGAGGAACACCAAAGGCGAAGGCACUCUGCUGGGCCAAUACUAACACUGAGAGACGAAAGCGAGGGGAGCAAAUGGGAUUAGAAACCCUGGUAGUCC
rnacentral:rRNA from 1 species